CUGCAGUCGAGCGAGCUGAAUUCAAGAUCCCUUCGGGAUGAUUUGUUGGACGCUAGCGGCGGAUGGGUGAGUAACACGUGGGCAAUCUGCCCUAAAGACUGGGAUACCACUUGGAAACAGGUGCUAAUACCGGAUAACAACAUGAAUCGCAUGAUUCAAGUUUGAAAGGCGGCGUAAGCUGUCACUUUAGGAUGAGCCCGCGGCGCAUUAGCUAGUUGGUGGGGUAAAGGCCUACCAAGGCAAUGAUGCGUAGCCGAGUUGAGAGACUGAUCGGCCACAUUGGGACUGAGACACGGCCCAAACUCCUACGGGAGGCAGCAGUAGGGAAUCUUCCACAAUGGACGCAAGUCUGAUGGAGCAACGCCGCGUGAGUGAAGAAGGUUUUCGGAUCGUAAAGCUCUGUUGUUGGUGAAGAAGGAUAGAGGCAGUAACUGGUCUUUAUUUGACGGUAAUCAACCAGAAAGUCACGGCUAACUACGUGCCAGCAGCCGCGGUAAUACGUAGGUGGCAAGCGUUGUCCGGAUUUAUUGGGCGUAAAGCGAGCGCAGGCGGAAUGAUAAGUCUGAUGUGAAAGCCCACGGCUCAACCGUGGAACUGCAUCGGAAACUGUCAUUCUUGAGUGCAGAAGAGGAGAGUGGAAUUCCAUGUGUAGCGGUGGAAUGCGUAGAUAUAUGGAAGAACACCAGUGGCGAAGGCGGCUCUCUGGUCUGCAACUGACGCUGAGGCUCGAAAGCAUGGGUAGCGAACAGGAUUAGAUACCCUGGUAGUCCAUGCCGUAAACGAUGAGCGCUAGGUGUUGGGGACUUUCCGGUCCUCAGUGCC
rnacentral:rRNA from 1 species